rnacentral:pre_miRNA from 1 species
CUUGUACUCCAUCCGUCCGAAAAUACUUGUCAUUGAAAUGGAUGUAUCUAGAUGUAUUUUAGUUCUAGACACAUCCAUUUUGAUGACAAGUAAUUCCGGACGGAGGGAGUACUUG